rnacentral:lncRNA from 1 species
UCGAGGUCUCCACCAUUGCGGGGUGAGGUGCUCUGGUGGCUUCGGUGCCCCCGGUAGCGCUCUGGCCGGUUCGGGCGCAGGCGGAUCACCGGCGUGGUCCCUGUCGGCGGUGUUCGGACCGGCCCUUGCCGCCCCCGCGCCUGCGCCGGCGCGGGGGUUACGUGGCGCUACUGGUGUACAGUCGAGUCCCUUUUCUGCAAGGUACACCAGCACUGGGUUUGGGGUACCGAUUUCUCCUGUCACGGGGGUCAUGCCGAUGCUUAGAGUGCGACGGGUUUGCCGGCUUGGGCGCGGUCGCGGUCCCUGGACGAUAGGCCCAGGGGGGUUCCCUAGGUUGGGCACACUCCUACGGGUGUCUUUUCGUGUCUACAUGGAUAUAAUGGGCGCGGGGGGGCCGAGUGAAACUGGGGUGUGUUUCUUCUUGGCCUGUAGUAUGCAUGCCCCCCUGUAGAGCACUAGGUGCCGAACGAAUAUUCACUAAAUUACAACACACGGUACUGGCUGACGGACGGUGCUCUGAUGCAACAGGUCGUAGCUUGCAAGUCCCCUGUUAUGUUGGUGUGUCGAAUUUCGAAAUGUUGGUGUGUCGAAUUUCGAAAUGUUGGUGUGCACGUGCCUGAACCCGAGGGGGCUGUGGUGCGGAGGGCUUUGGAGAAGUCUUUUGCCGAUGGCCUAUUGUCCUGUCAGGAUGGGUCACUGGGUCAAGAAGUCAAUGGGUCAUUUCCCGCUCCCUGGGCCGCUUGGAAGUGAAGGAAGAGGGGGGUUACAUGAAUGGAUGUCCUGGGGUGUCUGUCUUCCUAUAAGAUACGCAUCGCGCACAUGUCAAAGGAUCACGACUGACUACACACGCGGACUACAUAACAGGAAGGAAGGAAGGAUUGGUAGGGGAAAUCCGAAACAGAUUGACAUAGAUUUCGUAAAAGUGAUUUAGGAGGGCUGUCAUCCUAACGUUCAAGCAUGGGUUACAGAACUUUGCUAUGGCAAAGGACUAAGCGGCUGUCAGCUGCUUUUCGAAGCCGAAAAGGCAGAUCGCUGCAAACGGAGGAACCGAAUCGCGUUUCGACUUACAGUCUACACUUUAUUUUGAUGUUAACGGCGAAGACGUUGUGUGUAUCAUCGCAAAUAUCGUGUAUGUUCGUGUAUAGGUGAUUUUGAUGUGGCCAGACAGCAGGGUAAUGAUGGUCAAGUAUGUAUGCCUGGUGCUUUGGAUAUGAUUGCACCGUCCAUGAAUUUGCAUUGGCGCCUUAGCACACAUAUCUUUUUCAUCACUCCAGCGCCGCCGGCCGCUGCACCCCAGCCCUCGCAGCAUUCCAUAAUAAUGAGCGUUUACUCCAAGCACGACCCCGUGCAGCCCAGUGCCGUACAGCCUCCCCUGCAAAAUACUGCGGGGUGACUGGCUGCACCGGCGCCAAACCCUUUUCAGCUUCGAAGAAGCUGACUACCCUAGGUAGUCACCAUAAUGUUGUCGCGCUUUCAUAUCAACCGCGGUUGAUACAACGCCGGCCGGCGUUAUAUGCCAUCCGGAAAACGCGAAUAUCGCUCCAUAAAACAUGGUUUGCAUUCCAGAACAAGCCUUCCAUAUAUAUUUUUUUGUAUUCGCACACACAUAUCGCACCGAAUCGCACACAGCCAUAUCCUUUCUACAUUCGCACACACCGAUUCAUCCAUCUUCUAUAUUCGCACACACCGAUGCCCCCGAAGGUUCCGGGAUCGAGACCUGUCAGGUUCGAAAAUCCUUCCGAU